GACAACACGAGUAAUGAGCACCUGGCACUCACCAUCCAUGCCAACAUGGCCCACUUUAACAGAAUGGUCGAAUGUGUCGUCACCACCUGCAUUGGGGACCCUAGCAUGAUGGUCCAGGACAGGGCCAGGGUGGUGGAGCUCUGAAUCCAGGUGGCCAAGGAAUACCAAGGCCUGAGGAACCUUUUCUCACUCCAUGUGAUCCUCUGGGCUCUGCAGGGCCCCUCCAUUCAGCAUUUAAAAGAGACAUGGAGAUGGGUGUCCAGGAAGAACUGUACAAAACUUAAAAAGUUGAUGAAAACAAGCCAGCAGGAGAGCAGGAAGCUGCUCAAGGAGGUGAGUGGAGGCUGGAGAUCUGGAAGGAGGGGAGGGUGUCGUCCCCUUCCUGGGCACGUUCCUCUAUCACCUGAAGCUUCUGGACAUUGGGAUGGAGGAUGAUCUGGAAGUGAGUGAGCCUGGAGGUGGGGCCAGGGAGCAGGAUCCUGAGGUUUGGGAGGCGAGAGCCCUGCACUGGGCCCUGAGCUCUCAGUACCUGGCAAACCUUCUCUCAUGAGAGCCCCAUGGCAACCCCUGGGAGCUGGAGAGUCAGGCCCAGCUUAGCAAUGCAUGAAUAGACGUCCC